rnacentral:rRNA from 1 species
UACGUAGGGUGCAAGCGUUGUCCGGAAUUAUCGGGCGUAAAGAGCUCGUAGGCGGUCAGCACAAGUCAGUUGUGAAAUCUCCGGGCUUAACUCGGAAAGGUCAACUGAUACUGUGCGACUAGAGUGCGGAAGGGGCAACUGGAAUUCUCGGUGUAGCGGUGAAAUGCGUAGAUAUCGAGAGGAACACCUGCGGCGAAGGCGGGUUGCUGGGCCGACACUGACGCUGAUGCGCGAAAGCCAGGGGAGCGAACGGG